rnacentral:rRNA from 1 species
AACGAACGCUGGCGGCAGGCCUAACACAUGCAAGUCGAACGCCCCGCAAGGGGAGUGGCGCACGGGUGAGUAACGCGUGGGAAUAUGCCCUUCGGUUCGGAAUAACACAGGGAAACUUGUGCUAAUACCGGAUACGAUCUACGGAUGAAAGAUUUAUCACCGAGGGAGUAGCCCGCGUAGGAUUAGCUAGUUGGUGAGGUAAUGGCUCACCAAGGCGACGAUCCUUAGCUGGUCUGAGAGGAUGAUCAGCCACACUGGGACUGAGACACGGCCCAGACUCCUACGGGAGGCAGCAGUGGGGAAUAUUGGACAAUGGGCGAAAGCCUGAUCCAGCCAUGCCGCGUGAGUGAUGAAGGCCUUAGGGCUGUAAAGCUCUUUCGCCAGGGAAGAUAAUGACGGUACCUGGAAAAGAAGCCUCGGCUAACUCCGUGCCAGCCGCCGCCGUAA